rnacentral:rRNA from 1 species
UACGUAGGGUGCAAGCGUUGUCCGGAAUUAUUGGGCGUAAAGAGCUCGUAGGCGGUCUGUUACGUCUGCUGUGAAAACCCAGGGCUUAACCCUGGGCUUGCAGUGGAUACGGGCAGACUAGAGGCAGGUAGGGGAGAAUGGAAUUCCCGGUGUAGCGGUGAAAUGCGCAGAUAUCGGGAGGAACACCGGUGGCGAAGGCGGUUCUCUGGGCCUGACCUGACGCUGAGGAGCGAAAGCGUGGGGAGCAAACAGG